CGACUGUUUUACCAAAAACAUAGCUUCUAGAAAUAAUUAGAAGUUAUCCUGCCCGGUGAAAGCAAUUUUAAACGGCCCAAUCGUGUAAGGUAGCGUAAUCUGUUGUCUUUUCUGAGGACUAGUAUGAAGGAAAACGAGGCUCACUGGUCUCUAUUUUAAAAAUAAAUUUUAUUUUUUAAAUGAAAAAAUCUAAAUAAAAUUAAAGGACGAAAAGACCCUAUAGAGUUUAAAAUAAUUAUACUAUUCACAAAUUAAACAAAGCGAAUGAAUAAAUAUUUUUAUUGGGGCAACAUUGGAACAAGAAAUUUCCUUAUAGUAAACAUUUAAUAUCAUAAAAAUGAAAAUCCUCAAAGAGAUAAAGAAAAACUACCUUAGGGAUAACAGCGUAAUUUUUCUAAAGAGACCUAAUCAAAAGAAAAGUUUGCGACCUCGAUGUUGGACUAAGGCAUCAAAAUGGUGAAGAAACUAUUAAAAGGGGCCUGUCCGGCCUAAUAGCCUUACAUGAUUUG
rnacentral:rRNA from 1 species